rnacentral:lncRNA from 1 species
UUCAUUUGACAGUUUUGAUCUAGACAAGCUCCAACCUAACCAAAACUAAAUUCCAGCUCUCCUAUGAUUUAUGACUCAUAAUUUGCAAUAUUGGAUUCAUAUGUAUGACUCACUUACUUGGUAAAGAAACAAAAAAAAUAUUGAUUGUUAGUUUUUACUUAGUUCACUAAUGUGAUUUUCAUGUGAAAUCUAAGCGGCA